GCUCCCGUAGCCUAGUCUGGAUAAGGCGACAGCCUUCUAAGCUGUAGAUCGAGAGUUCAAAUCUCUCCGGGAGCG
rnacentral:tRNA from 1 species